UACGGGAGGCAGCAGUGGGGAAUAUUGCACAAUGGGCGCAAGCCUGAUGCAGCCAUGCCGCGUGUAUGAAAAAGGCCUUCGGGUUGUAAAGUACUUUCAGUCGUGAGGAAGGUGUUAAGGUUAAUAACCUUAGCAAUUGACGUUAGCGACAGAAGAAGCACCGGCUAACUCCGUGCCAGCAGCCGCGGUAAUACGGAGGGUGCGAGCGUUAAUCGGAAUUACUGGGCGUAAAGGGCACGCAGGCGGUUAAUUAAGUUGGAUGUGAAAUCCCCGGGCUUAACCUGGGAAUGGCAUUCAAGACUGGUUAGCUAGAGUCUUGUAGAGGGGGUAGAAUUCCAUGUGUAGCGGUGAAAUGCGUAGAGAUGUGGAGGAAAUACCGGUGGGCGAAAGGCGGCCCCUGGGACAAAGACUGACGCUCAUGUGCGAAAGCGUGGGGAGCAAACAGGGAUUAGAUACC
rnacentral:rRNA from 1 species